rnacentral:misc_RNA from 1 species
GAUGAAGAACGUAGCGAAAUGCGAUAAGUAAUGUGAAUUGCAGAAUUCAGUGAAUCAUCGAAUCUUUGAACGCACAUUGCGCCCGCUAGUAUUCUGGCGGGCAUGCCUGUCCGAGCGUCAUUUCAACCCUCAAGCCCCCGGGCUUGGUGUUGGGGAUCGGCGAGCCUCCGCGCCCGCCGUCCCCUAAAUCUAGUGGCGGUCUCGCUGUAGCUUCCUCUGCGUAGUAGCACACCUCGCACUGGGAAACAGCGCGGCCACGCCGUUAAACCCCCAACUUCUGAACGUUUGACCUCGGAUCAGGUAGGAAUACCCGCUGGACUUAAGCAUAUCAAUAAGCGGAGGA